CCGGGGCGCGGGGCUGAGUGACAAAGUCGCCCCGGCCCAGCCGCUCGCGCGCGCCAACGUGGGAGUCCUCGGCCGAGGCGUGUGACCCGUUUGUGAAAUGAAAGAUGAUGCUCGCCUCCUGGGAUUAUUGGGAUUCCUGAGGAACCUGAGUGAAAAGCUGCCCGUGGAAUGCAACAGAAUGUGAGCUCUGUCCCACAGUUGGCCUUGGCUGCAAGGUUCUCAGCACAGGCUUGUUCACAAUACUGCAUCCUGUUAAGAACUACCACUGUAAGAUUUAAGCAAGUCCUUUCACUGUGAGGUUGACAAGGAAAAAAAAAUCAACUCCUGACUAGCACCACUGUCUUGGGAGUUUGUACCUUCUCCUCUUGGGUUUUCUCUGGGUUAGACAGGUUUGUCCUACAUCCCCAAGAUGUGCAUGUGAGAUCAUUAUUAUGCCUCAGUUGUCCCCUGGGGGUGGGGGAGAAAGAGAGAGAGAGAGAGAGAGAGAGAGAGAUAUGCCCUGUGAUGGAAAGAUGUCCAGAGUUGGGUCCGGUCUUGACCCUGAUCUGUGGGAAAGACUCUGGGUUCCUGAAAUCCUGAACUGGAAUAAACAGGUUACAAAAUGA